CUUUCUUUGCUGGCGACCGGCGCACGGGUGAGUAACACGUAUCCAACCUGCCCUUUACUCGGGGAUAGCCUUUCGAAAGAAAGAUUAAUACCCGAUAGCAUAAUGAUUCCGCAUGGUUUCAUUAUUAAAGGAUUCCGGUAAAGGAUGGGGAUGCGUUCCAUUAGUUUGUUGGCGGGGUAACGGCCCACCAAGACUACGAUGGAUAGGGGUUCUGAGAGGAAGGUCCCCCACAUUGGAACUGAGACACGGUCCAA
rnacentral:rRNA from 1 species